AGAGUUUGAUCCUGGCUCAGGACGAACGCUGGCGGCGUGCCUAAUACAUGCAAGUCGAGCGGACUUGAUGGAGAGCUUGCUCUCCUGAGAGUUAGCGGCGGACGGGUGAGUAACACGUAGGUAACCUGCCCUUAAGACUGGGAUAACUACCGGAAACGGUAGCUAAUACCGGAUAAUUUAUUUUGUUGCAUGACGAAAUA
rnacentral:rRNA from 1 species